rnacentral:lncRNA from 1 species
GAGGUAUAGUAUGAGUUCAAUACUGAACAACAAAGCUGUUUGUUAAAGUCAUCUCUGCACCCUGGAAUUGUGUUUUUCCAGGAGUGACUGUGGCUGGGUGCAGAAGGAACACUUGCUGUUUGCCUGUCUCUCAUUAUUGUGGUUUUUGAAACUGCUUGGGAAAUCUGAACUGAGGGGAACAGAACCUACAGCAUUUCUCUUAAGCAAAGUUUGAAGCAGUACUUCAUGCAGAGCUACCAGUCUCAUCCAAAGCAAAGUAAACCAAAAAAAAUCUUUCACAUAAGUAGAAUUUCAUUUCAUUGAUGAAGAUUGAAAAAAAGGUCAAAACAAAUAAUAGUGACACUAAGACCAGACUUGCUCGAGCUCAUUUUAGCUCAGUGACCAUGCAAGCCAGCUGAAUGUUGCAGGGGCUAACUUUGGACUGUACAUGAUGUCAGCUGCUGCUUGUCCUUCCAUGUCUCAGUCUGCUUCUAAAGAAAAGUCGCUGUGGGCCUCUGCCUGCCUGUCACUGUUGGUCCUGCCAGCUCUGACUGUGGCCCUCAAAGGAAGGAAAUGUUAUCACAACAAACGUUUCCAGAAAUCUCAAAAUCAGCAAAAGUGCACAAGGGAGGAAAGAAGAGAGAGAGGAGCUCUGAACUACUCACUGCUGGCCUGGAGACUGUCAAAUCUGCACACUGAACCCAAUGAUCGUUAUUUAUGCUGUGCAGAACACUGUGCCACAGGAGCCAGGUGUGUGAUCUUUCUGGAAAUCAAUGGUGACCUUUUGUAA